rnacentral:rRNA from 1 species
CGCGGGGCAACCUGGCGGCGAGUGGCGAACGGGUGAGUAAUAUAUCGGAACGUACCCUGGAGUGGGGGAUAACGUAGCGAAAGUUACGCUAAUACCGCAUACGAUCUAAGGAUGAAAGUGGGGGCUUCGCAAGAACCUCAUGCUCCUGGAGCGGCCGAUAUCUGAUUAGCUAGUUGGUAGGGUAAAAGCCUACCAAGGCAUCGAUCAGUAGCUGGUCUGAGAGGACGACCAGCCACACUGGAACUGAGACACGGUCCAGACUCCUACGGGAGGCAGCAGUGGGGAAUUUUGGACAAUAGGCGCAAGCCUGAUCCAGCAAUGCCGCGUGAGUGAAGAAGGCCUUCGGGUUGUAAAGCUCUUUUGUCAGGGAAGAAACGGUGAGGGCUAAUAUCCUUUGCUAAUGACGGUACCUGAAGAAUAAGCACCGGCUAACUACGUGCCAGCAGCCGCGGUAAUACGUAGGGUGCAAGCGUUAAUCGGAAUUACUGGGCGUAAAGCGUGCGCAGGCGGUUUUGUAAGUUUGUCGUGAAAGCCCCGGGCUCAACCUGGGAAUUGCGAUGAAGACUGCAAGGCUUGAAUCUGGCAGAGGGGGGUAGAAUUCCACGUGUAGCAGUGAAAUGCGUAGAGAUGUGGAGGAACACCGAUGGCGAAGGCAGCCCCCUGGGUCAAGAUUGACGCUCAUGCACGAAAGCGUGGGGAGCAAACAGGAUUAGAUACCCU